CGGGAAGUCGCGAUCAGCUCCUGGGCCUUGGUGAUCUUCUUCGUGGAAUUGACUGACCGAAUGCGGUCGCGCAGUUCGCGAAGUGUAGCCAUGGUGUGUGCUCCUCCUUUCUCUUAAGUCGUAGUGAGUCGUAUUCGCUCGUCUAGCUCGUCGUGUGAACUAGCCGCGCUUCUGCGACUUACGAGAAACGUUGAGCUGGUUCUUCG
rnacentral:misc_RNA from 1 species